rnacentral:misc_RNA from 1 species
AACGCAUAUUGCGCCCUCUGGUAUUCCGGGGGGCAUGCCUGUCCGAGCGUCAUUACUACCUUCAAGCACGGCUUGUGUGUUGAGCAUUUUGUUCCAUUCUCAGUGAACAAGGCUUGAAAUGCAGUGGCGAUGCCUUAAAUUGGUUGCCUGAACGUAUAGGGCUAUGUCACACGUUCUUGUGGCUCCAGUUGUGCAUCAUGUUCCAACUUCUAAAAAAUCUCGAAUUGACCUCGGAUCAGGUAGGAAUACCCGCUGAACUUAA